rnacentral:rRNA from 1 species
AUUGAACGCUGGCGGCAGGCCUAACACAUGCAAGUCGAACGAGUGGCGGACGGGUGAGUAAUGUCUGGUAAACUGCCCGAUGGAGGGGGAUAACUACUGGAAACGGUAGCUAAUACCGCAUACCAUCGGAUGUGCCCAGAUGGGGUUAGCUUGUAGGUGUGGUAACGGCUCACCUAGGCGACGAUCCCUAGCUGGUCUGAGAGGAUGACCAGCCAAACGGGAACUGGGACACGGGCCAGACUCUUACGGGAGGCAGCAGUGGGGAAUAUUGCACAAUGGGCGCAAGCCUGAUGCAGCCAUGCGGCGUGGAUGAAGAAGGCUUUCGGGUUGUAAAGUACUUUCAUCGGGGAGGCGUUACCCGAAGAAGAAGCAACGGCUAACUCCGUGCCAGCAGCCGCGGUAAUUC